rnacentral:pre_miRNA from 1 species
UCUUUGGUUAUCUAGCUGUAUGAGUGCAAUUGACAUCAUAAAGCUAGGUUACCAAAGUUA